UACGAAGGGGGCUAGCGUUGUUCGGAAUCACUGGGCGUAAAGCGCACGUAGGCGGAUUGUUAAGUCAGGGGUGAAAUGCCAAGGCUCAACCUUGGAACUGCCUUUGAUACUGGCAAUCUCGAGUUCGGGAGAGGUGAGUGGAACUGCGAGUGUAGAGGUGAAAUUCGUAGAUAUUCGCAAGAACACCAGUGGCGAAGGCGGCUCACUGGCCCGAUACUGACGCUGAGGCACGAAAGCGUGGGGAGCAAACAGG
rnacentral:rRNA from 1 species